GAUGAACGCUGGCGGCGUGCUUAGUACAUGCAAGUCGAGCGAGGACCACCUGGUGGCAACACCGGGUGGCUCCUAGCGGCGAACGGGUGAGUAACACGUGGGCAACCUGCCCCCGACUCUGGGAUAAGCCCGGGAAACUGGGUCUAAUACCGGAUAUGAGCCUCCUCCGCAUGGUGGAGGUUGGAAAGGGUCUCCGGUCGGGGAUGGGCCCGCGGCCUAUCAGCUUGUUGGUGGGGUAACGGCCCACCAAGGCGACGACGGGUAGCCGGCCUGAGAGGGUGAACGGCCACACUGGGACUGAGACACGGCCCAGACUCCUACGGGAGGCAGCAGUAGGGAAUCUCGCGCAAUGGGCGAAAGCCUGACGCAGCGACGCCGCGUGCGGGACGAAGGCCCUCGGGUUGUAAACCGCUUUCAGCAGGGACGAAGCGAAAGUGACGGUACCUGCAGAAGAAGGUCCGGCCAACUACGUGCCAGCAGCCGCGGUAAUACGUAGGGACCGAGCGUUGUCCGGNUUCAUUGGGCGGU
rnacentral:rRNA from 1 species